GUAAAAAUACUGGAAAAGACCAUUAUAGAAAAGCAAUUAAUAUAACUGAACUAGAGAGCAAAAUCCUGAUAUCAAACAGUUCAUUUUCCAGUUAGUAUAACCCUGUGUAGCCAUUUAGCUAUUACUGUACUGUAUAUUAGUCACAGAAAAUAUUCAGGAAAGAAACAGAUGAGCAGGUCAUAUUUAGAUAAAAAAAAAAAAAAAAGUUGAUUAAGGCCCCCAUUAAAUACUAAUAUGGAAACUUCAAAA